rnacentral:tRNA from 1 species
CCCUGAUGGUCUAGCGGUUAGGAUCCUGGUUUUCACCCAGGUGGCCCGGGUUCGACUCCCGGCUCAGGGA